AAAAUUAACCAGCUUAUUAGAGAGAGAGAGAGACAGACAAAAGGAGGGGAAGAGAGAGAGGCAGGGGGAGGGAGAGAGAAAGGUACCCUCCCCCACAACUGUCCUUUGGGUCAGUCACAGAGCCUGUUCCACUGAAAUGGGUUUUUUUGGUCAUGCCUACAAAGGCCUUUCCCAUAGUGCCUUGCAACUAUCCACCCUUAACACCCUUACCCACAAUCCCCUGUGGGGCCAGGGAGCCGUGAGAUGGGGAAGCAGUCCCAAGGCAAGAGUGGGGUCGAGGUAUGUCAGGCACACAUAGCCCUGUACUGCCACCAGAGGCAGUCACAUAGCCUGGUAGCCUGUUUAAGCUGCCUGUCUCCUUAUAAGGUCAUGUCUAGCAGCACCUGGAAUUCCUCCUUAUGCGAAUGAGGCAUCCCUAGCACCCUGGUCCCAGCCAAUGAUGUACACUCACUCCAAAAGCCCCUAUUUAUGCCCCAAAGGGUUAAAUAGCCUUUGUUCCCCCAUUAAAUUGAGCUGUCUCACUGAAGCUGCCUCCUGAGCAUCUUACCACCACCACCCGAGGUUUCUUAGCUCGAGCCAGUCCCCCUCUUCCUGUCAGGAUCUACCUGCUGUGAUGGCAGGCCACAGGCCUGUGAGAGAAGAAGCAGAAUCUGAUAGCAAGCCAAAUAGGCAUGCAGAGUGUUGUUCAGUAAGUGUGUGCAGUGAGUGGCAUUGAGUCCUGUUAGGGUGACUGUUGGCCAUAGUCUCUCAGAUCUGAUGGUAAAUCCACUCCUUUACUUGUCUGAUGAGCCCAAGCUUCAGACUUCUUCCUCUGUCCCACGAAUUCUCUAAUGAGCAUUGAUAGGAGGUAGGGAGCUAACGUUUGCACUUUCUGGUUAUACCUUUCCACCAUCAACUGGUAAUUUUCAUAUGAGAGCUACAAUACCAAGGAUAAGCCCUCCUGAGGUGGGGGACUGAGGACAGAGUGGGCACCCAUCCUAACAGAGUGGAUUUCCUCCUAUAUAGUGUAGAGAGAGUUUUGGUUUGUUUAAAACCAAGUUAUGUGAGUAUGUUUUUGUGUUAAGGUUCCCAGGUGUGGGAUAUGGGGCUACUUCAGAUUGCCCAUAGCAGCUGACUAUGAUUUGUCCCGUGCUCUGGCCGGGGCGCGAUUCAGCCCGAUGAAAAUAGUUAAUGAAUUCCAGAGAUUCUUGAGAGUGUAUAAAAAUGCCAGAGACCUGAGAGGUUGCAGUGGCUGCUCCCCUGCUGCUGCUGCUUUUGUUGUUGCUGCUGCUUACUGGUUGGAGACACCCUGACAGUGAAGAUUGGACUUGCCCCAAGGAACUCGAUACCUCUGAUCAGCAGGAAGCAGUCUUAUGGUUUCCUCUCUACCCAGUGUUGGGGAUUUGGAAGGGAUAAGGAUGGAGAAGGAAAAGAACCUAAUAAAGUAACCAAAAAGGCAUGGAUU
rnacentral:lncRNA from 1 species